UCAAAAAGAAUCCCCUUGAUCUAGGAAAUUCAUUUCCUUCCAAAAGCUCCUCUUUCCUGCCUACCUACUAUUUCUCUGUUCAUUAACAUUAUGACAUUCUUGCUGUUAUUGAUUUCUUUGGUGGCUGUUCCAAAAUGGGUCUUCUCGGACAUUCAGCUUGUAUCAUCUGGGCCAGGAGUUGUGAGACCCGGAGACAAUCUCAGCCUGGUCUGUAAAGUGACAGGUGUCUCCAUCUCUACUCAGUAUUAUGCUUGGCACUGGAUCCGCCAGCCUCCAGGGAAAGGUCUAGAAUGGGUUGGAAGAAUAUACCUCUAUGAUGGUAGCAAGUUGUAUGCCCCUUCCCUGCAGAGCCGUGCAACCAUUUCUUCAGACACCUCCAAGAACGAGUUCUCUCUCCAGCUGAAUUCCCUGAUAGCUGCUGACUCGGCUGUGUAUUUCUGUGCCAGACACACACAAGGAAGGUAUGACCUCUUUGAUCACAAACGAACAAUGUCACUGACCUGUAGCGUCUCUGGUUAUACCAUGACAAGUGGCUAUUAUUGGAGCUGGAUCCGUCAGCCACCCAAGAAAGGACUGGAAUGGGUAGGGAGGGGAUACUAUAGUAGUGGGACCUGGUACACCGACUAUGCCCCAGCCUUCCAGAGCAGGAUCUCCAUCUCUGCCGAUUCUUCCAAGAAUGAAUACAAUCUCCAACUGAGCUCCCUGACAGCGGCAGACACGGCCAUAUAUUACUGUGCCAGAGACACAGUGACACAGAGCCAUCUGGCAUCUGCACAAAAAGGGGAAGCAUGA